AGUGAACGCUGGCGGUAGGCCUAACACAUGCAAGUCGAACGGCAGCACAGUAAGAGCUUGCUCUUACGGGUGGCGAGUGGCGGACGGGUGAGGAAUACAUCGGAAUCUACUUUUUCGUGGGGUAUAACGUAGGGAAACUUACGCUAAUACCGCAUACGACCUACGGGUGAAAGCAGGGGAUCUUCGGACCUUGCGCGAUUGAAUGAGCCGAUGUCGGAUUAGCUAGUUGGCGGGGUAAAGGCCCACCAAGGCGACGAUCCGUAGCUGGUCUGAGAGGAUGAUCAGCCACACUGGAACUGAGACACGGUCCAGACGCCUACGGGAGGCAGCAGUGGGGAAUAUUGGACAAUGGGAGCAAGCCUGAUCCAGCCAUACCGCGUGGGUGAAGAAGGCCUUCGGGUAGUAAAGCCCUUUUGUUGGGAAAGAAAAGCAGCAGGUUAAUACCCCGCUGUUCUGACGGUACCCAAAGAAUAAGCACCGGCUAACUUCGUG
rnacentral:rRNA from 1 species